AUUGAACGCUGGCGGCAGGCCUAACACAUGCAAGUCGAGCGAGCGGCGGACGGGUGAGUAAUGUCUGGGAAACUGCCUGAUGGAGGGGGAUAACUACUGGAAACGGUAGCUAAUACCGCAUACCAUCAGAUGUGCCCAGAUGGGCUUAGGUAGGAGGUGGGGUAACGGCUCACCUAGGCGACGAUCCCUAGCUGGUCUGAGCGGAUGACCAGCCACACUGGAACUGCGACACGGUCCAUACUCCUACGGGAGGCAGCAGUGGGGAAUCUUGCACAAUGGGGGCAAGCUUGAUGCAGCCAUGCCGCGUGUGUGAAGAAGGCCUUAUGGUUGUAAAGCACUUUAAUCGAGGAGGCGUUACUCGCAGAAUAAGCACCGGCUAACUCUGUGCCAGCAGCCGCGGUAAUAC
rnacentral:rRNA from 1 species